UACGUAGGGUGCAAGCGUUAAUCGGAAUUACUGGGCGUAAAGCGUGCGCAGGCGGUUAUGUAAGACAGAUGUGAAAUGCCCGGGCUUAACCUGGGAACUGCAUUUGUGACUGCAUGGCUAGAGUUUGGCAGAGGGGGGUAGAAUUCCACGUGUAGCAGUGAAAUGCGUAGAUAUGUGGAGGAACACCGAUGGCGAAGGCAGCCCCCUGGGUCAAGACUGGACGCUACAUG
rnacentral:rRNA from 1 species